GCUGAGGUAGCUCAGUUGAGAGAGCGUUAGCCUGAAGAUCUAAAGGUCCCCCCCUCCCCCCUCAGCG
rnacentral:tRNA from 1 species